rnacentral:rRNA from 1 species
UACGAAGGGUGCAAGCGUUACUCGGAAUUACUGGGCGUAAAGCGUGCGUAGGUGGUUCGUUAAGUCUGAUGUGAAAGCCCCGGGCUCAACCUGGGAACUGCAUUGGAUACUGGCGAUCUGGAGUGCGGUAGAGGGUGGCGGAAUUCCCGGUGUAGCAGUGAAAUGCGUAGAUAUCGGGAGGAAGACCAGUGGCGAAGGCGGGUCUCUGGACAGUUCCUGACGCUGAGGCACGAAGGUCAGGGGAGCAAACGGG